rnacentral:rRNA from 1 species
UACGGAGGGGGCGAGCGUUAUUCGGAAUUAUUGGGCGUAAAGGGCGCGUAGGCGGCCUUGUAAGUCAAAGGUGAAAUCCCUCGGCUCAACUGAGGAACUGCCUUUGAAACUGCAAGCUUGAGGCCGGGAGGGGGUAGCGGAAUUCCCAAUGUAGCGGUGAAAUGCGUAGAUAUUGGGAGGAACACCAGUGGCGAAGGCGCUACCUGGACCGGUUCUGGACGCUGAGGCGCGAAAGCGUGGGUAGCAAACAGG